CUAUAUGCGUACUUGAUUUUUUCCCCCUCAAAGAAGAUCUUCCUGUUGACUGUAUCAAUGCAGAGUUGUUCACUUCAACCUAGAUUUUGCUCCCCUUGCUUGAAUAGUUGAUCUGCUCUGAUUAAUGUGGCACAUUUGAUCAUGUAGAAUGGUUUGCUUCAAUAUAUGAGGGACACAUUGCUGAUCGUAUCUGGAAGUUUUCGAUUCGUUGGUUCUAUCAUUAAUAUCUAGAUGAUAAUAUGCUGCUGAAUAUUUCUGCAAUUUUGCCUCCCUCUGCUGAACAUAUAAACAUAAGUUUCUUCUGAUACCCCUUCUGAUUAUGUUUUCCCAUAUGCAACACAGUUUGUAUAGCUACUUGAGAUAUCUAGGUCCAAGCAAUGUCACAGUGAGCUAUCAACAACUGAGUCGUCAGAAUCCAUCGACAAUGGCUAAGACGUUGUCCAGUACAAAAUUGAUCGUAUGUCCAAGCGGUCUAUCAAUAUUAUGUAGUUUGGUAUUCCCACCAAGGUAUUCAGUUAGCGAUCCUCUCCUCAGUGGAAUGCCCUCAGGUUACAGGAAAGUAGAAUAUCUUGAACACUUUAUCAUAGCUUUCCAUUAACUACAUGUGAUAGUCUUUUUCAGCUUCAAGUUGCAUUUGUCUUGGGAAAUAGUUAUUUCAAAACAUGAGAAGUGAUAAGCGUAAAGAAUUCAUGAUCAUAAAAAAGAAAAUUUUGGUUUGUGUCUGUUGACCAGCAGCAGUGUUCAUAUAUUGCCACCGAGCAACAGGUGGGGGCACGCCAAAUAAAAGGUGUUUAAUGCAGUCUACUCAAUGAUAGAGUCAACUGAUCACUUAUGUAAUAGUUCUCAUUGGACAGGUGUUUCCUCAGUAUAUCCUUUUUCUAGUGUGUUAUUAGUUUAACCUUUCAGUGUUCUGUUGGGUGAUAUCUUUCCUCAUUCCUCGUUUUAGAGUUCCAAGCUAUUUCAUAAAUAUUUUGCUGAAUUUACACUUGGCAACUAUAUAAUGUAACAAGCCUAUACAAUAGCGCUGCCGAUACCAUUUGUUUUUUUUAGCUGAUUGCAUUUGUUUGUUAUGCUUUGUUUGAUUUGGCGUUACUCAGGCAAAGAUAUGCCGUUGCCUAACAAAAUUAGGAGGAACUCGGUAAGACAAGUUGAUAAACCUUGCUCAAUAUGCAUACUGGCUCCUCCAUUCGUAUAAAUAGAAUAUUAGGAGGCAAGAGAGUAGUAGUAGGAGAGUAUCAGUUUCAGUUGCUUACCAUAAUGUGCAUAUAUUGUGUUGGCUUUUUGUCUCUUUUGUUCAUUUUAUUUGACUGCUCUCCAAACAGUCACACAUGCAGAUUGAUGUUCGUUUCAUUUGACUGCUCUCCGUACAAUAUGCAGAUGGAUGAAUAUCAAGACCAUUUUUAUUGAUGAUUGAUUAUACCGAAAUGAUAAAUAUAGAUUGAAUAUAUCUUCAUAUUUUGUGCUCUUUGUUAGGCAGCUGCAUGUUACAUUUUUAAGGGACAGAUUGAUACACGUUUCAAGGUUAUGGAUAUGAUUGGAAUGAAGCUUUCUACUUGAACCAAAUUAAGACGGUUCAGCCCAGGAGUUCGGCAACUUUCAAGAGGAAGAUUUUGAAGGUCCUGUGCAACACUUCGACGAAGG